UUGCCAAAAUUGCACACUAAAUUGUAGUUGGAUUGAACCGUCUACUAAGUAUUUCAAUUGCAUUUAUGCUAUGAAAUUGAAUUCUUUUGUUUCAAAGCCUAAUUAAGUACUCCCUCCCUCUAGUUUCAAUUACUUUCUUCAUCAACGAUGUGAAGGAGUCAGGUUUCCCUCAAGGCCAACCCAGCAUCUCAAAUAUUAAUCUGUGGCGAAUCAGAAUUCAAUUUAAGAAUUUGUCGUUAGUCAAUAGAUUAUUACGUGCACAAAACGACGAGUGGGCUCUCAAGCAACCUAAAUCAAUUUGAUUGAUAAUCAUCAUUGCGGUUUCAAAUUCGAGUUUUGGUUUUAAGGGGAAAAAAAAAACUGUUAGAAACAGCAACAACAAUUUUUCGAAACAAAUUAAGCAUUACCGUGAGUUUAAAGGUACAAUUAGUUGAAGCUAAUAAAACUAUGCAUGUGUGUGCCAAUUUCAUUCCAAACCAAAAUUCACGCCACAUUGGAAGUUUCCUCCGGAGCUUCCUCCAUCACCCGUUGCCACCAAUACUAUUUUAUUAAUCAAUUUGAGUUGGUCAAGUGAUGAGUUUAUUCGUCUACUUAAACAAGUAUUAGAGGGUUCGAGUCUCGUCUUAUAUAUGUAGAACUUAUUAGUCAAUGACAUACAUUUAAAUAGAACUUAGAUUUGCGAAAAAUUAGUUAUUGAGUUGAAAAAUACCGUAGACAAUCUAAAAAGAAUAUAAUAUUAUUUUGUUAUUAUUUCAUUUAAUUAAUGAGUUCAAAUAAUAUUUCAUGUAAGAUCCAAGAAGCACAUUGAAGGUAUAACAUUAAAUAAGGCUAAAAAUUCUGGUGAGGGAAAGGAGAGGUGUGAAAUGC